rnacentral:lncRNA from 10 species
AUGAAAAAGUUCUGGAGAUUGGAUGGCCAACAAUGUGGAUAUACUGAAGCACUGAAGUCUACACUUAAAAAUGAUUAAGAUGAUAACUUUAUGUUAUGUGCAUUUUCCAUAGUAAAAAACAAAAUCCCUUUUCCAAACCCCAUGUCACACAAACCUGUCCAAAAACCUCUUCAUUAACAGUGAAAGUGAGGUCUAAGAUGUCUGUGAUGUUGUUGUCCUUCAUCCACUGCAAACUCUGGUGGAAUUCCUCAUCCAAAUAUUCCAGGUCACUCAAAUCACAGGGCCUGGGUGAAUUCAGUGAGAAAGGCAAAUUACCAAACAAAUGGCUGCCCAGACCUCACUUCAAAAUGUGGUUAUAUCAUUCCUGGCUAAAACAUCACAGACUUAUCCUAACAAUUGGAUACUUUUGAAUCCACUGAUGAAUCAGAUUAUUCAGUCAUUUUAGUUCAUUCAAUGAUUUUCCUUUGAAAAGGAAAUGUGAAAUUGUUUACAAUAACAAACAUGAAAUAACUAUUGACUCAGGGACUCUGCAUGAAAAUUGGAGAAAACUAUCAUUUUAAAACAGUUAUGCUAUAAACAGAUCAGUUCUACUUAACAGUUUAAUGCAAUGUUUGUAAUAUUAUUAUAAUUUUAUAUAAAAUGAUUCAUCUCCAUGAUAUGAGAUUUUGAUAAUAGAAUCUUCCCUUACAACAACAACAAAAUCCCCAAAUACCUUUUUAUUGUGCUAAAAAAUGUAAGUGAUAUCUAAGCACUCAGAACAGGAAGCCACCAUAACCCUAACAGGAAUGGUUAGGGCAAAAUAGUGACAAAAGGGUCAGUGGCACCAGAGAGGUCGGUGUCCUUGCCCUGCAGACAGGGCUGGGUUGGAAGCAUGGUCUGCAAAGCACUUACAGUCUCAGGAGUGCCUUGUAGAAGGGCCUCGUGAAGAAAGCGUCAAGAAGGUACUGAUGGAUCAGAGCCAGACCCAGGAUGCGACCGCUAAACCUGAACCUGGAACACAGACAAGGCAGAGAAAUCGCCUCCAUGAAUCUCCUGAUGAACUCCCUCAGAAGGUGGAAGGAGCACCUGACACCGACCCGAGAUCAGCAGCAGCUACGCCCACGCUGUGGGCAGUUAAGAGGCAGCCAGUGGUACCAGUCGUGAGCGAUCAGAUUUGAGGACUCAGGAUUCUGGUUUCCUGAGUGUCAUGGACCUGCGGGCUGCAGAAAUGACAGCGACAGGUCUUCAGGCAGGUGCCACAGCACCCACACACUGCCAGCAUUUUGUGCAAAAUACCCAAAGCCACAUCACCAGAUCUGGGCUCUCCUAGCUUCCCUUUGCUAAAAUGCUGGCCAAAGAGCUUAACGAGCCACUCAGGGGCACAAGAUAGGUGAAACCUGCAUGUUUUGUUUGUUAAACUAUUUGCCACAUGGCACAAGAAAAUAACAAAAAAUAAACAAAAGGAAUAACUGCAGCAUCAUGGUUUUGUUAAGAUGUCCCAAAGCUGAUCAGGGCUUCCUGUUGAAAUCUAAAUGAGACUCUUCCUAGGUGGCUUACAUUCAGUCAGCUGUGGCUCUGUGCAAAGAAAACCAGUUUCCCUUGCUCAGAAAUUUGGAGCCACUGAUAAGAGAAGAAAAGUGUGAUUCCACAUGGAGGGUCAUGAUACAAUCUGAUCUCUGACCCCGUGGAGGUGAAGGGGCUUGUUCUGCAUGCCAGGCUGAGGACUCUCGGGACUGAGGCAUUCAGAGUCGCAGCUUUAAAUCAUAAGGGUUCCCUGCCCAUUUCAUCACAAGUCAGCAGCAUCCAAAGAGUGGCGUUGAAGAAAAUCUCAUCACCGUGGGCUCAGUUUAGAUUGCUAGUCGGCUCAGAAAGCUACCUGCAAUUGCGUUUCCAGGAUGCACCACAAAUACUCUCCACAUGAGGGAGAACAUCAGUGGAUGAAACUCAGCAUGCUUAGUGCGGGGCCAAGUCCUCUAACAAAGGACACAGCGGUUAACCUGCAUUUCGAGGACAGGCACUGUCAAGCCCUCAUCAGGGAUCCAUCCAGAGAACUUUGGUAAUUCUUGCAAAAUCCCUGUAUCACACAAUUUCCUUCCUUAAUGUGAUGAAGUGUAACGGACACAUCUAUAAAGCUUCUUCAGUCCUGCAAUGCAUAGAUGAGCAGAAGGCCACAAAGCCAGGUCAUAGCACUCUCUACCAUCAGAAUGGAGCCUGCCUGAAUGUGAGCUCAGUGAGAGGCAGAUUCCAUUCUUGGGCCCGUCCACGGUGACUUGUCUGCUCUGCUCCAUCAUCCACUUAUUCACAAGUUCUGGGGCAACAAAGGGCACGUUUUGUUUCAUCUUGUGCCAAACCCUCGAUGUGUACUCACUCACUCUACCUCAUCUCAAGAACUUCAGGGCUGGGAGUGCAUUUGGAGAGAAGGCAUGUGCAAUAUCUGGAAGCCUUAGCACAGGUGGGUUAUACUGAUGCUCUAUAGCCAAACUAUAGGAACUUGGGUUCUAAGGCCAGCAGGCCCAGGUGUCACCCCAAUGGCUCCCUUCAACAGCAGCAUAAAUAAGUCAUGUCAGAAGAACUCACAUUAGCCAUCUCCAGGACUCAUUUCCCUCUCAACAGCAGGAGCUCCUGCAGUCAGAACAGCGGUAAUUUUCAAAUCAGGCAUGUGGUGAUGCAGCAGGAAAGUGCCUGCAUCCCAGGUGUCCCAGCAGCUUUCUGGAGACCUCUAAUACCCACAUCUGCACCACAAAACUGCACAGCAUUGAGUGAUACCAAUCUUCUUAUACAUAUAGGUAAGUGGUAAUAGAAUGCCUCAACAGCAGACCACCCAGGAACCAAAGACAUACUGGAUUUUCAAGUCAGAAGAAUGCUUAGAGAUCAUCUGACCCAAUAGCCAUAUUUUACAGUAAGAUGCAGAAGCCAGUGUCCACAGUGCUAAAGCCACUGGUCCAAGGUGAAAGAAUUUCAAACCCAUAAAUACCUCCAAGAAGCUUCCACUGGGACCCUAUGAUUUUAGUAAAAUUAUCAACAUUCAUGACCUAUGUCUACUGAUCUUAGCGUCUUCUCAGUAGGCAAUUAUUCUUUCUCACAUCAAUUUGCAGUUGCUAUAUUAUCAGCAUCCUUGGUAAAUCCAUCUUGUGUUCUGGGUGAAGACUAACAGAUUCUUCCUUCUUGGACUCUGUCAUUCACUCUCAUCCCUCAUAACAUCUGGCCACUGCUCUAAACACAGUGGCCUUUGAGAAAUGCUGCUGAAUUCUGACUAAGAAAGAGGAGAACUUUCAAAUACAAGAAAGUGAACAUUAUAGAGCUUACCACUCAAGAUGGUUUUCUACAAAUGCGGACAUGGGGCUGAUCUGCACCGUGUAAGUAUCAUUUGCCGAGUACUCAAAGAGUCCAUAGUAAGGGUUGAAGAGCUCCUGAGACAGAAGGAAGAAGAACUCCCGCGAGGGGCCACUGUAGUCCAGGCUGCAAAGAAAGCAGAGAGCAGCCUCUGCUCUUUGGAGUGAAUGCCAAUGGCAGCAUCAAUUUGCUGUAGAAAAUGAGGAUGCAGUAAUUGGUUUGGAGAUGUUUCUUAACCAGAUGUCCAUGAAUAAACUCUUAUGGCAGCUUUCCUUAGUGUUUUCUUUUGAUCAUCUAACACCUCUGAGCUAAAACACACAGCUGGCCCAUUGAAUACAAGGCCUUUGUUGUGGGACACAUAAAAGAAUUUCCUGCAACAGUGAAUGUGUGCAUGCAUGUGUGUGUG